rnacentral:misc_RNA from 1 species
GAUGAAGAACGUAGCGAAACGCGAUAGUUAAUGUGAAUUGCAGAAUUCAGUGAAUCAUCGAAUCUUUGAACGCACAUUGCGCCCCCUGGUAUUCCGGGGGGCAUGCCUGUCCGAGCGUCAUUGCAACCUUCAAGCGCGGCUUGUGUGUUGGGUCUCGUCCCCCGUGGACGGGCCCGAAAGGCAGUGGCGGCGUCCCGACAUGGUGCCCGAGCGUAUGGGAAUCCUCUUCCGCUCGAAUCGGCCCAUGCGGCGCUGGUCGUAACCAAAUUUUUUACCGGUUGACCUCGGAUCAGGUAGGGAUACCCGCUGAACUUAAGCAUAUCAAUAAGCGGAGGA